GAUGAACGCUGGCGGCGUGCUUAACACAUGCAAGUCGAACGGAAAGGCCCAAGCUUGCUUGGGUACUCGAGUGGCGAACGGGUGAGUAACACGUGGGUGAUCUGCCCUGCACUUCGGGAUAAGCCUGGGAAACUGGGUCUAAUACCGGAUAGGACCACAUUUUGGAUGGUGUGGUGGGAAGUUUUUCGGUGUGGGAUGAGCUCGCGGCCUAUCAGCUUGUUGGUGGGGUAAUGGCCUACCAAGGCGUCGACGGGUAGCCGGCCUGAGAGGGUGUACGGCCACAUUGGGACUGAGAUACGGCCCAGACUCCUACGGGAGGCAGCAGUGGGGAAUAUUGCACAAUGGGCGCAAGCCUGAUGCAGCGACGCCGCGUGGGGGAUGACGGCCUUCGGGUUGUAAACUCCUUUCGCUAGGGACGAAGCGCAAGUGACGGUACCUGGAGAAGAAGCACCGGCUAACUACGUG
rnacentral:rRNA from 1 species